rnacentral:lncRNA from 1 species
AUCGCGGCAUAAGGGAAGCUAGACAUGCUCCUGAUACUCCUCUGGAAAAGCUUCGUAUGGCCGAAGUGGACUCUGAUGGCGAGCCGGUGUUAUAUGGGGAAGAUGAUUUCCCUAUGCCUAGAGGUGAUUGUCGCGUUGUAGGCUCGUUAGCUGUGUCUUCUGAAGAAGAAUCCGAGCCGGAUGGGGAGGACAUGGAAGUCCCUGAAUCUGAAGAAGGCGACCCCGAUUCUGAAGGGGAAGACCUUAACCCAGGGUUGGAGAUUGCCCUGGUUGUUGAUAUUGAGAAAUCUGAC